UCUUGCCUUAAUAUACUGCUAGUAUGUUUACUACUAAUAACAGCUGUGAAAAUACUAGUUUUUUUUUCUCCUCCAAAAACACUUGAGUGCACGCGUUCGUUCAGAAAGCAGAACAAGAACAACUUUUAAACAUUACCUUUUAAGUGAAGUAAUUUCUUCGCCACUGUCGUCACCAAACUGACCCUUUCGAACAGGUUUCCGAAACUCUCCCUGUCUGCAUCCGGACAAACUCUUUACUCAUGUAAAAACAUUACAGCAGCAAAUUGAACUUCCUGUGACAUGCCAUUUAAUAAACAUUGAAGCUGUUGAUUUCUUGUCAUCACGGUUCACAGUCUAAGAGAGCAAGACAGUGCAAACACAGGAUCUACACUUCAUUUAAAACAAUUUAAUCUUUACAUAUUUGUGUUUUUUUUAAUGUACAAUCAAAUCAAUCAUACAUAAAAUUCUCCAUAUUGUACAACUCUAGCACUAGUAUAAAUUAAAAAAAAAUUAGAUCAAUAUAUAACAACAUUUUGUUUUCUUCACUGAUUAACAGAGGAACAUCAAUUGCUAAUGAGAACACAGAAGCCCCACCCACAUGGCUCAAUUACUGUCAAUCAAUCGGGGGGGGGGUUCACCAUGGAAACAAAGCAAAAGGACAGAAUUUCACCAAUCAGUUAAAAGACAACACUUCGGCCUUGUUUUGGAAAAGAAAUGACCAUGCGCAUAUGUAAUUCAAAAUUAAAUUUAAGAAAAAACAGAUGGUAGUGCAACUGGUAGGUUAGUUUAACAUACAGCAAUGGUUACCACAAGUGUCAAAUUUACACAAAACUGUGCCACGUAUUUCUCAGGAAAA